AUGGAGCCGACCUUGAAAUACCACCCUUUAAUGUUUGAUGUUCUAACGUUGACCCGUGAUCCGGGUUGCGGACAGUGUCUGGUGGGUAGUUUGACUGGGGCGGUCUCCUCCUAAAGAGUAACGGAGGAGCACGAAGGUUGGCUAAUCCUGGUCGGACAUCAGGAGGUUAGUGCAAUGGCAUAAGCCAGCUUGACUGCGAGCGUGACGGCGCGAGCAGGUGCGAAAGCAGGUCAUAGUGAUCCGGUGGUUCUGAAUGGAAGGGCCAUCGCUCAACGGAUAAAAGGUACUCCGGGGAUAACAGGCUGAUACCGCCCAAGAGUUCAUAUCGACGGCGGUGUUUGGCACCUCGAUGUCGGCUCAUCACAUCCUGGGGCUGAAGUAGGUCCCAAGGGUAUGGCUGUUCGCCAUUUAAAGUGGUACGCGAGCUGGGUUUAGAACGUCGUGAGACAGUUCGGUCCCUAUCUGCCGUGGGCGCUGGAGAACUGAGGGGGGCUGCUCCUAGUACGAGAGGACCGGAGUGGACGCAUCACUGGUGUUCGGGUUGUCAUGCCAAUGGCACUGCCCGGUAGCUAAAUGCGGAAGAGAUAAGUGCUGAAAGCAUCUAAGCACGAAACUUGCCCCGAGAUGAGUUCUCCCUGACCCUUUAAGGGUCCUGAAGGAACGUUGAAGACGACGACGUUGAUAGGCCG
rnacentral:rRNA from 1 species